GAUUUGAAGAAAGAGAUUAUGAAACAGGUAUACGAUUUCAUCACAAUCUAAAUUUCAGCAUAUGUUAAUUUCAGCACAUGGACUAGAUCGUUAUGGUUUUAUAUUUUUAUGCAUGCAUGAUUCAGAUUAAAAAUAUUUUAAUCUUGUAUUCUACUAUGAUAUUUAAAAAAUAAAAUUUUGAGACACACAUGUAUGCCCUAAACCUCAAAUCCAAUAGUGGU
rnacentral:lncRNA from 1 species